rnacentral:rRNA from 1 species
AUAAGCCCCGGCUAACUACGUGCCAGCAGCCGCGGUAAUACGUAGGGUGCAAGCGUUAAUCGGAAUUACUGGGCGUAAAGCGUGCGCAGGCGGUUAUGUAAGACAGGUGUGAAAUCCCCGGGCUUAACCUGGGAACUGCAUUUGUGACUGCAUGGCUGGAGUGCGGCAGAGGGGGGUGGAAUUCCGCGUGUAGCAGUGAAAUGCGUAGAUAUGGGGAGGAACACCGAUGGCGAAGGCAAUCCCCUGGCCCUACACUGACGCUCAGGCACGAAAGCGUGGGGAGCAAACAGGAUUAGAUACCCUGGUAGUCCACGCCCUAAA